UAACACGUAGGGGGCAAGCGUUGUCCGGAUUUAUUGGGCGUAAAGAGCUCGUAGGUGGUUCGAUAAGUCGGGUGUGAAACCUCCAGGCUCAACCUGGAGACGCCACCCGAUACUGUCGUGACUAGAGUCCAGUAGGGGAGCGUGGAAUUCCUGGUGUAGCGGUGAAAUGCGCAGAUAUCAGGAGGAACACCAGCGGCGAAGGCGGCGCUCUGGGCUGGCACUGACACUGAGGAGCGAAAGCGUGGGGAGCGAACAGGAUUAGAUACCCUGGUAGUCCACGCCCUAAACGAUGGGAACUAAGUGUCGGCGGGUUACCGCCGGUGCCGCACCUAACGGAGUAAGUUCCCCGCCUGGGGAGUACGGCCGCAAGGUUG
rnacentral:rRNA from 1 species